UACCAUGCAGUCGAGCGGGCAUCUUCGGGUGUCAGCGGCGGACGGGUUAGUAACGCGUGGGAACGUGCCCUUUGCUCUGGAAUAGCCCUGGGAAACCGGGGGUAAUACCGGAUGUGCCCUGAGGGGGAAAGGUUUUACCGGCAAGGGAUCGGCCCGCGUCUGAUUAGGCAGUUGGUGCGGUAACGGCGCACCAAGCCGACGAUCGGUAGCUGGUUUGAGAGGAUGAUCAGCAACACUGGGACUGAGACACGGCCCAGACUCCUACGGGAGGCAGCAGUGGGGAAUCUUAGACAAUGGGCGAAAGCCUGAUCUAGCCAUGCCGCGUAGGUGAUGAAGGCCUUAGGGUCGUAAAGCCCUUUCGCCGGGGAAGAUAAUGACGGUACCCGGUAAAGAAACCCCGGCUAACUCCGUGCCAGCAGCCG
rnacentral:rRNA from 1 species